UACGUAGGGUGCAAGCGUUAAUCGGAAUUACUGGGCGUAAAGCGUGCGCAGGCGGUUAUGCAAGACAGAUGUGAAAUCCCCGGGCUUAACCUGGGAACCGCAUUUGUGACUGCAUAGCUGGAGUACGGCAGAGGGGGAUGGAAUUCCGCGUGUAGCAGUGAAAUGCGUAGAUAUGCGGAGGAACACCGAUGGCGAAGGCAGUCCCCUGGGCCUGUACUGACGCUCAUGCACGAAAGUGUGGGGAUCAAACAGG
rnacentral:rRNA from 1 species